CACAGGUGGGUGAGGAGAAUAUCCUAAGGCGCUCGAAAGAACCCACGUUAAGGAACUCGGCAAAUUAACUCCGUAACUUCGGGAGAAGGAGUGCUCUGGUAGGGUGACUGGACUGCGUUUAAUUAUGCAUGCGAAAGGUAGCCCGAGAGAGUCGCAGAGAAUAGGCUCAGGCGACUGUUUAUCAAAAACACAGGACUCUGCUAACGCGUAUAGCCGACGUAUAGGGUCUGACGCCUGCCCAAUGCUGGAAGGUUACGGGGAGGGGUUAGGAGUGGUAACAUUCCGAAGCUCUGAACUUAAGCCCCAGUGAAUGGCGGCCGUAACUAUAACGGUCCUAAGGUAGCGAAAUCCCUUGUCAGGUAAGUUCUGACCCGCAUGAAUGGCGUAACGGUCUGAGCACUGUCUCAACGUGGGGUUCGGCGAAACUGUGCACCGGGUGAAGACGCCCGGUAUCCGCAUCAGGACAAAAAGACCCCGUGGAGCUUUACUGUAGCUUGAUAUUGGAUUUUGGCCUGUUAUGUAGAGCAUAGGUGGGAGACUAUGAAGUUAGGGCGCCAGCCUUGGCGGAGUCGACAAUGGAAUACCACCCUUAUCAGUCUGGAAUUCUAACCUUGGCCCGUGAUCCGGGUUGGGGACAGUGUCAGGUGGGCAGUUUGACUGGGGCGGUCGCCUCCUAAAGAGUAACGGAGGCGUUCAAAGGUUCCCUCAGCGUGAUUGGAAACCACGCGCAGAGUGUAAAGGCAAAAGGGAGCUUGACUGUGAGGCAAACAAGCCGAUCAGGGACGAAAGUCGGACUUAGUGAUCCGGUGGUACCGAAUGGAAGGGCCAUCGCUCAACGGAUAAAAGCUACCCCGGGGAUAACAGGCUUAUCUCUCCCAAGAGUUCAUAUCGACGGGGAGGUUUGGCACCUCGAUGUCGGCUCAUCGCAUCCUGGGGCUGGAGUAGGUCCCAAGGGUUGGGCUGUUCGCCCAUUAAAGCGGUACGCGAGCUGGGUUCAGAACGUCGUGAGACAGUUCGGUCCCUAUCUGUCGUGGGCGCAGGAGAUUUGAGGGGAGUCGUCCCUAGUACGAGAGGACCGGGAUGAACAGACCUCUGGUGUAUCAGUUGUCGUGCCAACGGCACCGCUGGAUAGCUACGUCUGGAUGUGAUAACUGCUGAAAGCAUCUAAGCGGGAAGCACACCCCGAGAUGAGAUCUCCCACCAGGUAACUGGGUAAGACCCCUGGUAGACCACCAGGUUGAUAGGCUGGAUGUGUAAGGGCAGCAAUGUCUUCAGCAGACCAGUACUAAUCGGUCGAGGUCUUGACUUU
rnacentral:rRNA from 1 species